CGUAUCACCCAAGACAACUUUACGGAGUUGACGAUUGACGGAGCGAAGCGACGUCAAAGCGUUCAUUAAAGUCGAGUUGGCUUAGGGAUACGUUCGUUGGGUAGGGGAGCGUUCUGUAAGCCUGUGAAGGUGUGUCGUGAGGCAUGCUGGAGGUAUCAGAAGUGCGAAUGCUGACAUAAGUAACGAUAAAGCGGGUGAAAAGCCCGCUCGCCGGAAGACCAAGGGUUCCUGUCCAACGUUAAUCGGGGCAGGGUGAGUCGACCCCUAAGGCGAGGCCGAAAGGCGUAGUCGAUGGGAAACGGGUUAAUAUUCCCGUACUUGGUGUUACUGCGAAGGGGGGACGGAGAAGGCUAUGUUGGCCGGGCGACGGUUGUCCCGGUUUAAGCGUGUAGGUGUGUGUUCCAGGUAAAUCCGGUUCACUUUAACACUGAGGCGUGAUGACGAGGCACUACGGUGCUGAAGCAACAAAUGCCCUGCUUCCAGGAAAAGCCUCUAAGCAUCAGGUAACAUCAAAUCGUACCCCAAACCGACACAGGUGGUCAGGUAGAGAAUACCAAGGCGCUUGAGAGAACUCGGGUGAAGGAACUAGGCAAAAUGGUGCCGUAACUUCGGGAGAAGGCACGCUGACACGUAGGUGAAGUGAUUUACUCACGGAGCUGAAGUCAGUCGAAGAUACCAGCUGGCUGCAACUGUUUAUUAAAAACACAGCACUGUGCAAACACGAAAGUGGACGUAUACGGUGUGACGCCUGCCCGGUGCCGGAAGGUUAAUUGAUGGGGUCAGCGCAAGCGAAGCUCCUGAUCGAAGCCCCGGUAAACGGCGGCCGUAACUAUAACGGUCCUAAGGUAGCGAAAUUCCUUGUCGGGUAAGUUCCGACCUGCACGAAUGGCGUAAUGAUGGCCAGGCUGUCUCCACCCGAGACUCAGUGAAAUUGAACUCGCUGUGAAGAUGCAGUGUACCCGCGGCAAGACGGAAAGACCCCGUGAACCUUUACUAUAGCUUGACACUGAACAUUGAGCCUUGAUGUGUAGGAUAGGUGGGAGGCUUUGAAGUGUGGACGCCAGUCUGCAUGGAGCCGACCUUGAAAUACCACCCUUUAAUGUUUGAUGUUCUAACGUGGACCCGUAAUCCGGGUUGCGGACAGUGUCUGGUGGGUAGUUUGACUGGGGCGGUCUCCUCCUAAAGAGUAACGGAGGAGCACGAAGGUUGGCUAAUCCUGGUCGGACAUCAGGAGGUUAGUGCAAUGGCAUAAGCCAGCUUGACUGCGAGCGUGACGGCGCGAGCAGGUGCGAAAGCAGGUCAUAGUGAUCCGGUGGUUCUGAAUGGAAGGGCCAUCGCUCAACGGAUAAAAGGUACUCCGGGGAUAACAGGCUGAUACCGCCCAAGAGUUCAUAUCGACGGCGGUGUUUGGCACCUCGAUGUCGGCUCAUCACAUCCUGGGGCUGAAGUAGGUCCCAAGGGUAUGGCUGUUCGCCAUUUAAAGUGGUACGCGAGCUGGGUUUAGAACGUCGUGAGACAGUUCGGUCCCUAUCUGCCGUGGGCGCUGGAGAACUGAGGGGGGCUGCUCCUAGUACGAGAGGACCGGAGUGGACGCAUCACUGGUGUUCGGGUUGUCAUGCCAAUGGCACUGCCCGGUAGCUAAAUGCGGAAGAGAUAAGUGCUGAAAGCAUCUAAGCACGAAACUUGCCCCGAGAUGAGUUCUCCCUGAGACUUAGAG
rnacentral:rRNA from 1 species